rnacentral:lncRNA from 10 species
AACUAGUCCCCUGUAGAUAGGCAAUUUGUACAUUAAUCAUGUGUGUGUGUGUUUGUUUUUUGUUUUUUUUGUUUUUUUGAGACAGGGUCUUGCUCUAUCCCUAGACUGGAGUGCGGUGGUGCAAUCCUAGCACACGUAAGCAAUCCUCCUACUUCAGCCUCCCAAGUAGCUGGAAAUACUACUGGCGUGAGCCACCGCGCCCGGCCUUGCAUAAUUAUUCUUGAAACACUUAAGAUUCAUGACAAGGGGCAGAAUCUAGGUAGAAAGUGCUUAACUAGAUGUUAAACCCUGUGGCUUGAGAGCCCCAAUGUUAAACCAAAGAGGUAUAGUAAAGGCUGGUGAUAGACCAGGAAAAAGCCUGCCCCCACCUAAGCCCCCAGCUUUACCCCGCUUUGGUCAUGGCCAAAGCCGUGUUGGGGCUCAGGCCUGACGGACCAAAAGACAAGGCCCAUCUAUAAAGAAUCUUGGAGGCCCAUUUUGUAUUUGAAAUACUUCAAAAAUUUCCAACAACAUCAGGGCUAAUAUUUGUACAGGCAGUUACUUCAAGUAAAAACAAGAGAGAUGGGUACAAAGUGAGGAAAGGGAGGUAGGAUCAGGGCUGGGCUAGCACUGGUGUGUGGAGUAACCUGAUUAAACCGUGCUGUGCUUCUGUCCUCUCCUAUUGUCUCUGAAAAACCAUCUAAAUUUGCUUUAUAAACAUGUAUAAGCCAUUCUCUAUAAGUGCGUGGCUAAGAAGAUAAUUGUUCUGUUAAGUUUUUUCUUAGAGACAGGGUUUCACUCUUUUGCCCAGCUGGAGUGCAGUGGUACAAUCUUGGCUCACUGCAGCCUCCUGGGCUCAAGCCAUCCUCCCACCUCAGCCUCCCGA